rnacentral:rRNA from 1 species
CCUACGGGAGGCAGCAGUGGGGAAUAUUGGGCAAUGGAGGAAACUCUGACCCAGCAACGCCGCGUGAAUGAUGAAGGUCGGCGGAGAGUAAAGGUCUGGUCUAAGGGAAGAAGAAAGUGACGGUACCUUAGGAAUAAGCCUCGCCUAACUACGUGCCAGCAGCCGCGGUAAUACGUAGGAGGCAAGAGUUAGCCGGAAUGAAUGGGCGUAAAGGGGGCGUAGGUGGGUUGACAAGUUGGUAGCGUAACUCCGGGGCUCACCCUAGGCACUGCUACCCAAACUGUUGGCCUUGAGUGCAGGAGGGGCCAUUGGAAUUCCUAGUGUAGCUGUGAAAUGCUUAGUUAUUAGGUGGAACACCCGUGGCGAAGGCGAUUUGCUGGACUGUAACUGACACUGAGGCACGAAAGCGUGGGGAGCAAACAGGAUUAGAUACCCCAGUAGUC